rnacentral:rRNA from 1 species
AGCGAACGCUGGCGGCAGGCCUAACACAUGCAAGUCGAACGAACUCUUCGGAGUUAGUGGCGGACGGGUGAGUAACACGUGGGAACGUGCCUUUUGGUUCGGAAUAACUCAGGGAAACUUGUGCUAAUACCGAAUGUGCCCUUCGGGGGAAAGAUUUAUCGCCAUUAGAGCGGCCCGCGUCUGAUUAGCUAGUUGGUGAGGUAACGGCUCACCAAGGCGACGAUCAGUAGCUGGUCUGAGAGGAUGACCAGCCACACUGGGACUGAGACACGGCCCAGACUCCUACGGGAGGCAGCAGUGGGGAAUCUUGCGCAAUGGGCGAAAGCCUGACGCAGCCAUGCGGCGUGAAUGAUGAAGGUCGUAGGAUUGUAAAAUUCUUUCACCGGGGACGAUAAUGACGGUACCCGGAGAAGAAGCCCCGGCUAACUUCGUG